AGUCGAGGGGCAGCAUGAUUGAAGCUUGCUUCAAUUGAUGGCGACCGGCGCACGGGUGAGUAACGCGUAUCCAACCUUCCGUACACUCAGGGAUAGCCUUUCGAAAGAAAGAUUAAUACCUGAUGGUAUGAUGAGAUUGCAUGAUAGCAUCAUUAAAGAUUUAUCGGUGUACGAUGGGGAUGCGUUCCAUUAGGUAGUAGGCGGGGUAACGGCCCACCUAGCCUACGAUGGAUAGGGGUUCUGAGAGGAAGGUCCCCCACAUUGGAACUGAGACACGGUCCAAACUCCUACGGGAGGCAGCAGUGAGGAAUAUUGGUCAAUGGACGAGAGUCUGAACCAGCCAAGUAGCGUGAAGGAUGAAGGUCUUACGGAUUGUAAACUUCUUUUAUAAGGGAAUAAAACCUCCCACGUGUGGGAGCUUGUAUGUACCUUAUGAAUAAGCAUCGGCUAACUCCGUGCCAGCAGCCGCGGUAAUACGGAGGAUGCGAGCGUUAUCCGGAUUUAUUGGGUUUAAAGGGAGCGCAGACGGGUCGUUAAGUCAGCUGUGAAAGUUUGGGGCUCAACCUUAAAAUUGCAGUUGAUACUGGCGUCCUUGAGUGCGGUUGAGGUGUGCGGAAUUCGUGGUGUAGCGGUGAAAUGCUU
rnacentral:rRNA from 1 species